CGGUUUCUACCCUGUCCGUCAGGCUACGUUAUCCCUGGGGCUUUCGAUACCUCGGGAGCUGUCCCUGCCAAGCUCGUGGGCUUGGUAUAUGGCGCCCACCUGCACUAGCAGGCCACAGAGGAUUCCCCGCCAACGGCUGGCGUGGAGCCGUC
rnacentral:other from 1 species